ACGUACUUCUAUAUUGUGUUGAUUAACGUCUUUUCACAUUAAUUUUUGACAUAUUAUAUUCAUAGUUUUAACGACGACAUACUGGGAUUGCUUGCGUACCUUUACUGGAGUUAUUCUUUCUCUGAUACCAGCCACACAACACCGCGUUAAGUCAUUCCGUGCUUUGAUAGCAAGAAGAGCUGAAAUAGCUAGAAGGAAAACAAAACAAUGAUUGACUAUUAAAUGCCUUUAUUCAAUUGAGUUUUAGAGCUUAUACUGCAAUUCGGAGACUGUAAACGCUGUUAUAAAGACUAAUAUAAUCGUUAUUUAAUUAGUAAAAAUGAUCCUAUUAUGUUAAAUUUUUUUUUAACAUUUUAUUAUUUAUAAUAAGUUCAAAUUUAUCUUAAAAGUCCUUUAAGAUCAAAAAUAUACGGUAAACAAGCUUCUAAUGUUUUAGUUUGAUCUUACUUUUUCGUAGGAAAAGAAAUAUAGAUAUUUGUUUCUGAAUCAUCUAUUAGCAUGAAAAUGUUGGCCAGGCAAUAAUUUCUAACUGUGUUUUAUGUCUAAUAAUUAAAUCUUUAAAAUCGUUGAGGGUCACAUUGUCGACGUACAAGUUCAAUUGAAUAAAUAAUCAGUUGUGCAAUAAAUUGGAUUUGCAUUAAUGCUCAAUUCAACGACUACUGCCCAAGGUUCUAUAUUAAUAGAAAAAUAAAUAUUU